GGCAUCAUUGCACGCCCGGCCGGAUUGCAAAGGGUGCAGGAGACCUUUAUUUAUACCAGAGCACAGUACAUGGAGUACCUGUACCCUACCACUUUUCAGCACGUACAGGCAUGCAUACUGCGCGUAUAAUUAGAUCACUUUACACACACAUAAGCUUUCUUCACCUCCACUAUACUAACAUACGGCACACGUGAUUGCGCAUUUGCACCUGCACCUUCUCCGUGCUCCAAACAAAAUCAUCAGCGAUCAAUCAUCUCCCAAAGACGGAGGGUGAAAAGGCACGGGCUCCUCCAAACUUGCAGCAACGAGCAAACUCCUCUCCAGUCUCCACAUCAUCAGCCAGGAGACGAAGAAAACGCCGAGG
rnacentral:lncRNA from 1 species